rnacentral:lncRNA from 1 species
GUGUCAAGGACAAGUGCUCAUUUUGUUCUGACAGUAUAUUUUUUUUCUUUAGAAGGUGUUGCUACCAUACAUAUUUUGAUAUCUUGUAAUGAAUAAUGAAUGGUAGACCUUGCUGAUGAUGCUUUAAGUUGCUCUUGAUAGCUGUCUCAGGGAAUGAAAUUGGUAAAAAAAAAAAAAAAACAAACAAACAAACAAAAAAAACAGCCUUUUUUUUUUUUUUUUUUUUUCCUCCAUACAGUUUCUAUUCUGGGUAAUGAAGGAAAAGCCUUUGCAUCUGACCAGUCCCAGGUUACUGCUGCUUGGAAAAGUUUGUUCACUGAACUCCAGAACCAUCUGGCAAUGAAGCAUAGCGCAUACCCCACAACUUGCACACAAAGCAGUAACUGGACGUGAGAAAUAAUGGGGAAGUCAUAAAUCUCAAAAGCAUCGCCAUCAGCUGAACAUCUACAAAAAAUUUCUGACUGCGUAUGAGGGUUCUGUUGUUUGCUCCCAUAUAACUUGUUCUUUUGAAAACAAAUGAAAAACUAAAAGGCUUGAAAUAAGUGUUGAAUCUCAUACUGUUUGCACAAGUAAAGACAAAUGUAAACAGGUGCUUUCAGAAAGUUUGUUUGAAUUGAUCUGUUUAAAAACAGCUGCUUCAGAGUGCAAUAAGUACAAUAAUGCACAGUGCUUGAUACUUCACAUGUGAUACCAGGUACAGAUGGGAGAGCUGCCUGUGGUGUGUGCAGCUACAAUUCGGAUACCAGGGCGUGGAGCCGGGAGCAAGUGCUCUGCUUCUCCAAUUGCCCAAACCUUUAAAAAGAAGUUAUGAAGCCAUUGACGACUGCAGAAAUACCAAGCAACACUUUGGCUGAAGUGACUGGUUUAUGGCACAAAGAAGUCCUGGCUAGAGGCACUGUAUUAAUUAUACUGAGAUGUGAUUGUUAUGGCUCUGAGAUGCUGCGUAGCAUGAGUCAGUCCUUAGGAAACGGGUCUGCUGGGAAACCAGCAACUUAAAUGCAGCCUAUCUGGCACCUGCUGAUAUUUCUGUACUUGCAGAUAAUCAGGAAUUUGGAAGAAUGCUAAAUUUUCCUCUGAGCUGGAUUAAUCUAAUAAACCAGCUCUUCUUUGGUUUAAAAUCUUUAGC